rnacentral:lncRNA from 1 species
ACUAAUAAAUUAUUUAUUACCUUNAUUAAUCAAGUCUUAUUACUUCUCUUCUUGGAAUAAUUUAAUUUCCNAAUUCCAAAAUAUAUAAUAUUAAUUAACGAGAUUUCUAAUUAAUUACUAAACGAACAAUAAUAACUCCCAAAUUUAAUAUUUUCAUCUCUCCCUUUUUAAUUUAACAUCAUUAAUUAAUAUGAAUAAUUAUUAAUUAAUAUUAAUAAUUACGACUUUUACACAUUCCAAAUUAAAUCCAACCACUAAACCUGUAAGUAUAAACAGUCCAGUUAAAAUUCUGAUCAUUAUUAAUAUUAUUGAAUUUUUAAUUUUUCUUUUCUACCAUUAAAAAUUCAAAACUAAACAGAGUGAAUUCUGGGAGUCUACAGGCUCAAUUACGAAAUCAAAAGGACUAAUCCCAGGUUUAACUUUGAGUCUACAAACUCACUUAGGCCCAAACCGAGAGCAACUUGGCCACAGCCCAACAGUUCUUGCUCGUUCUCGCUCAGCCUCAAUUCCUCUUCACCGCAGGUAUCAGAUACACCGGAGAACGAAGAAGGAGAACACGAACAACGAUUACCCUAAAAGAAUUUUCCCAAUUCAAAACCCUAACCAUCUCAAUCAGAAUCCUAAACCCAAUCAAGAAACACCAGACCUGCAGAAGAACAAAACCAACCCAAACGCGAAAUAGCAAUCCAAAAUUUUGGUGAAUAUCCAAAUCCCUAACUCGUAAAAAUCGAAAGAGGGGAUAAGAAGAAUAAAGCCUCUGUUCUUGGACCGUGAAGGUCGCCACCAACACACACUGCCACGAAGGAAACGCCGUGCCCUCAACGUGCCUCUACCGUGCAGUCGUCGCGCUCUCGCCGACAUAGCCGCACCAACGAUGAUCCCUCCAGCUUGAGUGUCCGAGCGAGAAAGAGAGAAGAAAGAAACUAGAGUUUUAACCCCUUUAAAAACGCCCCUCUUGCGACCUCAUCAUUCCCCGCCGCGCUCGCCGCCAACGUUGAGUCAAUCACAAUGAAGAAAAGGAACAGAAACUUCAGGCUUCGGGGUUUCGCAUGAUGAAGAAAGAAGAAAACAAAUUGGGGAAAAAUACCUACUGCAUGCGAGAAAGGAAACUGAAGGUUGGGAGAAAGAUUUUACAAAAAAAAAUUAAAAAGCCAAGCUGGAUGAAGGUUAUGUACAACUAGGAUUUUGAAUAAAUUAAGAUAGAUCAUUUCUUUACAUAAGGCUAUUUGUUAAAACCAUUUCCUCAUUUUAAUUUUAAAUAAACAAAAUAAGCUAGGAAUAAAACCUGACGUAAUAGAAUUCUUUUCCUUUUUAAGGGAAAAGCAAAUCAAAGGUUAGAAACUUAGGGUUUCUCUCUCCAAUUUAAGGUUCCAACCUCCUGUAGCGGUCAUUAUUUUUUUUUUUAAUGUUCAAAUGUUAUACAUGUAUUAAAAGAAGGAAAUCAAUGCUAUGUGUGACUAAAUCAUAAACAAAAAAAAAAAAAGGAUAAACUGAUAUUUAUCAGUUUCAUACGCACAGAUAUCCAUGGAUUUUAAACAUUCACUUUUAUUUAACAAUCAUCCAAAUAAUUAAUUGUAUAAUAAAAAUUUUAAGAAUAUAUCAACAUUCAUCAAAUAAAAUAACAAUUAUACAUUUUGUCAUGCUUUCAAAGAAAUCAAAGUUAUCUCCAAAUUCAUCAUACAAUAAAAUAAUAAAAUAAAGGUAAGCUUCUCAUACCUUAGCCAAUCAAAGAAAUAAGUUCGUGACUCUUUUUUUUUUAUGUUUUCCUUUCUUUAUAAAUAAAACUUAUAAACCUCCCUAUCUAGGAUUUGAACUCACACUCAUUCAACCUUAUACACACAAAUCAACCAACAAACCAACACAUUACAUUGAUAAUUUCAAAUAUUAUAAUUAUAACAAACGAACAAUAAAUUACGUUACAUUUAAAUUAACAAAACCAUUAAAUAACCUACAUUUUUUUAUGUUCUAAUCGAGACUACAACACAUAACCAUUCAACUUUCAUUAAAAUUAUUCACAUCUCAUCACUCUAUUAUUCAUAAGUCCUAUAUUUUUCUCGAGUCUUACAACACCAAUCUUCCAACACCAACAAAACGCAUCAAAUAUGGGACGCUUCAAAGGCGAUGGCAUCGGCAAUAUAAUUCGUGCAUACAAAGUUAACUUUAUUAAACGGUGGAGAUAUUAACUUGUUGACGCCAACAAUCAUUUGAGAAAAUAAGUG